ACGUAGUCGAGCGGGAAUCACGGAAGGCCGUGCGUUGCAUCAUCCGGAAGAAGAUUCACGCUAAGUGGUUCGGAAACCGCGGGAGAUUCGUGCUGAAUAGCGACCAACGUAAAAACAUCAUCAGUCCAUCGACGAGGUUUGCACCGGAUCAGAACAGCGAACACCCGUAGAUCGCCAGCACACUUGACCGGCAGCAGUGCUAAUCUGGCCUACGUUGAUACUUAUUCCGUACGGGAAACCCGACAGAACGCCCGGAACGACGCUGAGCAUCACGACACAGCAAAGAAGCCUUCCAAGAAGAAGGCUUUUUGUGUUUGCUUUCAGCUCGUCCACAUCGGCUGUACGGAAAGAGCGGGACCGAUCAUCGGCGCCGCAUGGGCGUCUGAACGACAGGGCUGUGCGCGGGAUCCGGACAAGCUGCGAUUCGAAGGAGGGAUCCAUACGUAACUGUUAGGGAGAACUUGGCUCAAGCGCAGUCGUGUCGACACUGGUAACCUUCAAAUUGAGGCGUUGGUUCAGGUGGCAAUAAGAAACGAUCAGUCGUCGUGUGGGUGGCAGCGAGGCGGCGUGGAAGUUGCCGCUACGAAGGAGACAGCCAGUCGGCCGGUAUAGGCGUCAACGGUGAGCUGAAACCGAUUUGUGCUUGAAUCGGACGGAAGAAGCUGGGAGAGAGGAUUCCGGCAUGAACAGGGUGCACCCUCCAGAAGAACCGUGAGUACGGCGAAGAAAUUUGCGCAAGAAUGCGAAAGAUCUAGAUAGCGAUAGGGCAGUAGCUAGUUAGAGUAGAAAUGGGACUGUGGCCAAUGAUACGGUGAAUAAAGCUUGUACACAAUGAACAUACUCUUUAGUGGCGUUUAGGUUGUUAGCCGGUCCGACCAAUGCUUUUUCCCAUCCCGCAGAGGUCGUUUCACAA